UGAAACCGUUUAGGGGUAAACCUGAGAAACCCGAAAGGUCGAAGGGAGAAAUUCAUUCGCGUUUCGCCGUUGGCGUGAAGCGAUCGUGUGACGGAAAAUUUGUUCGCAAGUUUUCCGCGCCUUUUGUUUUUCGAUCCGAUAGCGAACGUGUGCACUUUUCUCCUGGUAGGACGUCGCGAUCCGUUGGGUGUCGGUCUACGGCUCACGGUGGAGCCCGAACGUACGGCUUGCCGUUAUGUUCGGACCCGUGUGUCCUGGCUGACUCGCUCGACGGUAAACGAAAGGUUUAAGGCCGCUCUUAGAGCGUUCGGCUCGUCGCAAGCGCGUCAGAUGAUUUGUCGGUGAUCGGACCUAGUGCCGGUUCUGACCUCUGGCGACUGUUGGCGGCGAAGUUCUCGAACAGACUUUUGACCGAUCUGCGACGCUAUAGCUUUGGGUACUUUCAGGACCCGUCUUGAAACACGGACCAAGGAGUCUAGCAUGUGCGCGAGUCAUUGGGAAUUAUUAAACCUAAAGGCGCAAUGAAAGUAAAGGUCCGCCUCGCGCGGACUGAGGGAAGACGAGCGGUUUACCCUUAAAAGUGACCGCUUCGCACUCCCGGGGCGUCUCAUUCUCAUUGCGAGAAGAGGCGCACCAAGAGCGUACACGCUGGGACCCGAAAGAUGGUGAACUAUGCCUGGUCAGGACGAAGUCAGGGGAAACCCUGAUGGAGGUCCGUAGCGAUUCUGACGUGCAAAUCGAUCGUCGGAACUGGGUAUAGGGGCGAAAGACUAAUCGAACCAUCUAG
rnacentral:rRNA from 1 species